UCCUAGUGGCUUAGUGGUAAAGAAUUUGUCUGCCAUGCAGGAGACACGGGUUCGAUCCCUGCAUUGGGAA
rnacentral:tRNA from 1 species